GAUAAACGCUAGCGGCAGGCUUAACACAUGCAAGUCGAGGGGCAGCAUAGAUUGUAGCAAUACAAUUGGUGGCGACCGGCGCACGGGUGCGUAACGCGUAUGCAACCUACCCGUCACAGGGGGAUAACCCGGAGAAAUCUGGUCUAAUACCCCAUAACAUAUGGAUCGGCAUCGGUUAAUGUUGGAAGUUUCGGAGGUGACGGAUGGGCAUUCGUAGCAUUAGCUUGUUGGUGAGGUAACGGCUCACCAAGGCGACGAUGCUUAGGGGGACUGAGAGGUUUUCCCCCCACACUGGUACUGAGACACGGACCAGACUCCUACGGGAGGCAGCAGUGAGGAAUAUUGGUCAAUGGGCGCAAGCCUGAACCAGCCAUGCCGCGUGCAGGAUGACGGCUCUAUGAGUUGUAAACUGCUUUUGUACGAGGGUAAAGUGGGUUACGUGUAACCUUUUGAAAGUAUCGUACGAAUAAGGAUCGGCUAACUCCGUGCCAGCCGCCGCCGUAA
rnacentral:rRNA from 1 species